rnacentral:rRNA from 1 species
AUACAUAUGUCUUAAAUUUAUAUAAAUAUAAUAUAAAAAAAAGUGAUAAUUGAUAUAAUUAAUAUAAUUAGAGUAGUUGAGUAUAGUAGUUGUAGGUAAAAUUUAAAAUUAUUAUUAUUAAUCUAAUUUCUCUAAUAUUUAAACUUUGAAAAUAAGAUAAAUUGAAAACUAGGAUUAGAUACCCUAUUAUUCUUUAUUUUAAAUUUUUUUUAUUUGAGUAGUGUAAAUAGUGACACACUAACUUAUAUUUGAAACUUAAAAAGCUUGGCGGUGUUAUAUAUCCAUUCAGGGGAGCUUGUUUAUUAAUUUGAUAAUCCCCAAUUAACUCUUACUUUUUUUUGAAUAUAUUUAUUAACAGUUUGUAUAUUGCUGUCAUCAGUUUAUUUCGUAAGAAUUAUUUAAAAAACUUGAAAGUAGAAUUUACUAAU